AACGAACACUGGCGGCGUGCCUAAUACAUGCAAGUCGACCUUAGUGGCGAACGGUUGAGUAACAAGUGGGUAACCUGCGCAUCAGAAGGGGAUAAACCUUGGAUACAAGUGCUAAUAGGGUCUACUGAUGGAUGGACCCGCGGUGCAUUAGGUUGGUGGUGAGGUAACGGCUCACCAAGGCCACGAUGCAUAGCCGACCUGAGAGGGUGAUCGGCCACAUUGGGACUGAGACACGGCCCAAACUCCUACGGGAGGCAGCAGUAGGGAAUCUUCGGCAAUGGACGAAAGUCUGACCGAGCAACGCCGCGUGAGUGAAGAAGGUUUUCGGAUCGUAAAACUCUGUUGUUAGAGAAGCGGUAUCUAACCAGAAAGCCACGGCUAACUUCGUGCCAGCAGCCGCGGUAAUAC
rnacentral:rRNA from 1 species